AGGCAGCAGUAAGCUAGCAAACUACACAGAUUUAUCAUCUUUGUGCAAAGUGAGCUGUAAACUUUAGAAGUUUGGGGCAGAUUAUUGUUAACGCAGUAGAGCAGCUCCUUUCAGGAAUAGAUCAGUGCGUAGGUUGUGUGCGUAGAGGGAGAGAGCCGUGAAACUGGCGACCGGAGUAGAGUUAGCUUGUUAGUUAGCAGUGAAGCUGUGAACUUAGCAGUGCAAUGCAUGUGCUCUUUAGGCUUUAUGCUGUUUGUGCUACAACUACAACUACAACUACAGCUACAGCUCCUCAAGACUGAAGUACCUGUGUCCCUGUGCUUCCCAAUUACAGUCCAGACUAUGAGCCAGGAAAGGUUAAAAACACUGAGGCAGAUAAAUACAGGACUCUAUAUUGUCACUGGAGUGCGUCAUUGUCAGUUAAUGACAGCAAGGAGAAGAUGUCCAAGCAGAGAGCAGCAAGAUGCAGGAGAGGUACUUACAGCACAGGAAAGGCAGGAGGCACAAAAACAUCAGACAGGACGAACCCUGAAUUUAAGAGACUUGCUGCUACUACUGUCAUGAAAAGGGAGAAUUUAGUGGAAAUGAAAAGGGGACAGAGCCAGACACAGCAGGAUAUCUUCCUAAGAGCAAAUUCUCUUCGAGUCAGACAGACACAGUGCAGUCGAGUGCGGGUCAGAGCCAACCUUCCACCAGGCAGGGCCAAAAAACAAGCAGCCAUGGACCUGCCAGCACAGGUCAGAGCCGGCACCAGUGAUGCCUCCACCAGCAGCCAUCAGCAACAGGUGAAAGUCAAAACACAAGCCUGUUCUUUUUAUUCCUUUUUCACAUUCACAACCAGUUCACAAGCUACCACCUCCAAGAUAAAUACUUUAACCAUGGUAAUUGAUACGGUUUUUUUUUAAAGAUAU